rnacentral:rRNA from 1 species
AUGCAGACACCACCGGCGGUCGCUUCUUCUUUGGCCGGGAAAGGUCGGGGGCGGAAGAAGAAGGAGAAGGCUAGUAGGGGUGGACGUGGCAGCAGGAGAGGUAGGAAGGCUGCCACUACGCCUUCCUCGCCGGCACCCUCAGCUGAUUCACCUGACCACAGGACUGCUCCGUCUAAGAUGGAGCCGCCUGAGGUGGACCCGUCUUGGACCCCGGUCCACGAGCCUUGGGCCGACGAGCCUUUCCCCCACGAGACUCCGGUCCCAGAGGCUUUGUCCCACGAGACUCUGGAUCAUGCUACGUCGCAGCCGAACUGA